AUUGAACGCUGGCGGCAUGCCUUACACAUGCAAGUCGAACGGUAACAGGUCUUCGGAUGCUGACGAGUGGCGAACGGGUGAGUAAUACAUCGGAACGUGCCUAGUAGUGGGGGAUAACUACUCGAAAGAGUGGCUAAUACCGCAUGAGAUCUACGGAUGAAAGCAGGGGAUCGCAAGACCUUGUGCUACUAGAGCGGCCGAUGGCAGAUUAGGUAGUUGGUGGGAUAAAAGCUUACCAAGCCGACGAUCUGUAGCUGGUCUGAGAGGACGAUCAGCCACACUGGGACUGAGACACGGCCCAGACUCCUACGGGAGGCAGCAGUGGGGGAUUUUGGACAAUGGGCGCAAGCCUGAUCCAGCAAUGCCGCGUGCAGGAUGAAGGCCUUCGGGUCGUAAACUGCUUUUGUACGGAACGAAAAGCCCUGGGUUAAUACCCUGGGGUCAUGACGGUACCGUAAGAAUAAGCACCGGCUAACUACGUGCCAGCCGCCGCGGUAAAAC
rnacentral:rRNA from 1 species